GCAAACUUGGUCAUUUAGAGGAAGUAAAAGUCGUAACAAGGUUUCCGUAGGUGAACCUGCGGAAGGAUCAUUGAAAUAGCGAAGCGUCCCGUAACCCCGCUGGCGCAGCUAGCGGGGUGGGGGUGCGGAGCGACUAUCAUACCUGUGCAAUUGUAGGGUGGGGUGCAAGUGGAGGGGUGGGUUGUGAUGUGCAAUCCUCUGUAUACUCGCACCCCACAUCAGCUUUAUGAUACAAACAGUAGUAAUCAAAACAUUCAACCAACUUUUAACAAUGGAUCUCUUGGCUCUUGCAUCGAUGAAGAACGCAGC
rnacentral:misc_RNA from 1 species